rnacentral:rRNA from 1 species
AUACGUAUGUCCCAAGCGUUACCCGGAAUCACUGGGUGUAAAGGGUUCGUAGGUGGCUUGAAAAGUUGGAUAUUAAAGACCGGAGCUCAACUCCGUGUUUGUGUACAAAACUCUCAAGCUAGAAUCAGGGAGAGGUAAGCGGAAUUCUAAGUGUAGGGGUGCAAUCCGUAGAUACUUAGAGGAACACCAAAAGCGAAGGCAGCUUACUGGAACUGUAUUGACACUGAGGAACGAAAGCGUGGGUAGCGAAAAGGAUUAGAAACCCCAGUAGUCC